AUGCGGCGAUCCCAGAUGUGCUUUGACAUUGUGAUUUGUAGUUGUCAAGGACAUCAUUACCCAGUCCGUUCCUAUGCUUUGUCACUCACAAACAAUAAGCUUCAACAUACAAGGCAGCAUUCAAUGCUAUUGGACCCAGGUGUUGGUAUACAAUUUCUUGUACAUUUUACUUCAGCUUACAAGGCAGAGUUCAAUGCUACUAAGUCUGUUCUUAUUGUAUUGACAAAGCCAAUUAUGGGGCCACUGUUGGAGGUUCUUGAAUGUACCCUGCCACUAUGGAACGUGUGUGCAGAAACAGUUGGAUAUCUCAGUUCAGCUGCAAUGGUAGCGAUGGAGACAUCAUGCAGUGUGGUUAUCAUUUGGCCAUUUUGGUUCAUCUUUAGUACGAUAUUUAAUAUUGCCAAUUCAGUCUUGUACCCUGUAAUUUGGUUCGUCGGAGAGAUACUAGCCGCACCUUUCCGACUUGUCACUGCGCUAGCAAGUUUUGUAGCACACUUCUUUGAUGAUAUUGUUGAUGUUUUAGACAAACCUGGUCAACAUUAA
rnacentral:rRNA from 1 species